rnacentral:piRNA from 1 species
UCUAGGUAAUUAGGACUGCUCUUUAAAGA